GGGAACCUGUCUGGAGUGGUUAUGGUUUCUUCUUAGCUCUUGUUCUUUAGAAUGGGAGUAGCAAAUAUUCAGCGCCACCGCCCUUCCCUUACAGUGUAUGUGUCCCAAACUACAGUCUCAGUGAGCACCAGUCAACUAAGAUCCAGAAGCAGAUGAUCCUCCUGACCUACCAUCAGAAGGCCAAGAGUGACUAAUGCUACAUCACAACGCCUGUGUCAUUCAUCUCAUCAUGGAGGCAUUUUAUCACAUCAUCACGAGAAGAAUUCUUCAUAGAUGGCCCAUUCAGGAGGAGAGGAAUGAAUUAGUUGUGUACAGUUGUCCUGCCACAUGCCUAAAGUUUACAUUCCAACUUCUGGUCAACAACACUAGAACAGGAAAGAACUAAAGCAGCAAGUCUCUAAACACUUAACAGCUCAGAAUGCCCUACAAUCAGCUGCAUUAUUCAAGCUAUGAGGAACUUUGUUAUGUACCAUCUUUUCAUUACUGCAGCAUCUUCCAUCUGUUGGCUAACUGAAUACAAGUAUCUACUGUUGGAAAAUUCUGAAAAUCCCAUGAAGAAAGCUAUCGUGAAACAGCUUCAGAUGGAGAGAUCACAGUAAACCUGGGGAAAUGGAAUUUUUGAGUUUGAUGCGGAAGCAUGGUUUGGGUUUAAAGACUUAGAGAGGAAUCAAAGACACUUCAGGAGGAUAGAAUAGCACAAAGCCAAAGGGCAGAGAUGAAAAAGCAUGGAGCACUACAGGGGAGAAUAGUCUACAUGAAUGGAGUAAAGAAAUCCGACCAUGGAAUUAGAUACAAGAGAGACUCACGAAGAGCCUUGAAUGGCAGCUGGAAAAGUUUGUUCUGUGGAGUGGGAAACCUGGAAGAAUGGUAAAUUGGUAAAAUUACAUUUUUUCAAUGACCUAUGCUUUAGGAAACCUAAUAUGUCUCAACUAGUAAACAAGACUAAUCUGAUUUACUUCUAAUGGAAUUUUAAUAGUUUUAAUUUUAAUUAUUACAAAAACUGUUCUCAGAUCUGUGAUCUUACAUCUAGUCACUGUGUGAUGGUGUGUGAUGGUGGAAACCAGAACAUAUAUCUAAGAUUAUAACUACUCAUGCUGUUGGGCUUUCAUUUUGUACUUAUCUCAUAUGUUUUAGAAACAAAUAUUAAGAGCAAUCAUCUCUGGAGAGACUGCCACUUAUUAACAGUUCAUAUGCAGUAUACUGGGGACAGCUACUUGCUUGUUUUAAAAGCAAUAUAUUUCAUUCUCUCAAGGAAAAUUUUAAAUCAAACUAUAAAGGCUCAUUUAAAAAAAAUCAACUCAUCCAGGACAAUUGUUACAACUGGGUGAUUAGACACAUAUCCACCAAAUACACAACAACCUCGCAAUUUACUUAGAUAAGAAAAUAAAUUCUUGUCCUAUAUUUACUGACUUUUGGAAAGUCCCAAAUUCACCAAACCUUGGUUUCCCAAGUUAUAAAAUAAAGAUGAGAACUUUUCUAUAUUGUUGGUUUGUGAGACCACAACCAUAUUCUAUUCACAAAAUUACCAAUGGAGGUACUAAUACAGAUUCAGGAGAGGGGAGGAGCACUGUGUUUGGAAAUUAUACUAGGCACACACCCAAAUGAGAAAGACAUGGCUAGUUUUGGAACUUUUCAGCAGAGUUGGGAAAGUCAGGUCUGGAUGACGACCUUCUUUUAUACCGAGUAUGUCUCUUUUCUCUUCUGUUGAUUCUACGUUACAAAUAUUUAAUUUUUGAUAAGUCUAAGGCUAUAGGUAUAAUUUCAGAGAACAAUAUUGAUCCAGAUUUGACAAUAAAACCCCAUUUUUAAUAGAUUCUUGGCUAUUAACUUAAUGGAGAGUAUAAUCUUUAGGGAAAGAUCUGGUUCAAAUUCUGGUUUUCCCAGUGACUAGAUGUAUGACCUUGGGAAAGUUCCUUUACCUGACUAAAUGUCAUUUUCCUCAAUAAGAAAAUGGGAAUUUAAAAUUCCUAAUUCAUUGGGUUCUCUCAAGGAUUAAAUGAUACAUGUAAAGCUCUUUGCAGAGUAAACCCUUACUAUGAGCUAACAAGAUUUCAAAAGCUAGAAUAGUUUAUACUAUACUUUUACUAAAUAACUCCCUUCAUUUCAGAGGCUUUAUAAAAUAGUCAAUUCUUCCAUCACAACAGUCUCUAGGACAGCUGUCCUUCGGGAAAUUUCUUAGUGAUCCAGCCGUGAUCUAUGUUGGAUCUAUAUCCCCUCAACCAUGGCUACUGAGCCAGGAGAAAAGAGCACAGAGAACACACACCUGCUCUUAAAAGCUUUCGCUGGGGGCGGGGGAGGGGGGCAAUGUAACUUUCACUCAUAGCUCAUUGGCUAGAAGGAAUCACCUGGCCCUGCUGAACCAGGAGAAUGCCAGGACUUGUAGCACUUCCCUCUGCCCAGAAAGGACAAGGGAACUGGAUAAUAAUAUUAUACAUCAUAACUGAGAAAGCUACUCCAAUACAAAAAAAGAACAAGAUAUUGCAUUUUUAGGAAAUCACAUUGUCACUGAAAUAUUAAGAAUUAUCAAGGCAAAUGGAAUUUAAAUAAUUCUUUCUGUGGUAUGAAAGCCUUCACUGACAGAGGGAGCUAAAUGUAGAUAAAUUAGAUUACUAAACCAAAAGGAAGAAAACUUGAUUUUGGGUCCUGGCUUGGCUAUUGUGAUGAGUAACUUUGGGUGGGGCAUUAAAUUUCUCAUUUUCUUAAACUUUAAAUCAGUAAAAAUAGUCCUUUCCCAGUGUACAUCACUGUUAUGAGGUUAAAAUAAAUCUUGGAGAGAAAGUACUUUUAGAGACAGACUUAGUGGCAAGGACUGCCAGCUCCUUACAUCUUCCUGGGAAGGCAAUCCAACCACAUUUUCUAGCUUCCUUUGUCUUAGAAGUGGCCACAAAAGCAAUUCUGGUCAAUACAAUGGUAUUGGAAGGUCCUUGUACCUCUUCUUGGCCAAGCUGGUGAAGAAGCUUGUAGGUCUCCUCCUUGCUGUCUUUCCCUCUCUGCUGGCUGGAUGCAGAAGAGGAUGGAGGCCAGAAAGGACGACAGACCACUAGAAGAAAGGAGUCCGGGUCCGUAUCUGAUCGACGGAAAUGGAGCUGCCCUACACCCAAGGACACCUUCCUGGAACUGGCAUGUAAACAGGUGGCCUGGAUACCAUGCCCAACCAUGUCAAAUGGCCUAAACAAUAUCCCCCACCAUGCGGUCAAGUAUGCUAAGACAAUAUUUUCUUUGCUCUAGACAGCAAUGAUGAACUUUAAAUGAAGAGUCCUGUGUGACAGCACAGGUCACGUAUCCACAAAAUUGAUCCUGUCUAAAAUGUCAGUUAACCAAACAUUCUACUUCACGGAAAAAUCUGAGAAUUAAAAUUAUGUAGUGGAUGUUUGUUUUAGAACUUACUUGCUAUUCCCCAGCUUCUUAUGGUGAUUAGAUGUCUUCCAAAUGAAUCAUGGCUUUCCAGAGAAAAACUCAGUCUUCAAAUAGGUCUCUAAGGAAGUGUGUUUGCAAUGGUGUGCAAGGGACAGUGUGCAAUUUUAUUUGUUCACGGCUUUCCCUUUGGAUGUACUCCAGUGCCCAUUCAUGUGUCUAAUCGAAAACAAGUAAAAUCCCCACCACACUGAAACUAAAUCUUUCAGGGCACUAGAAGACUCUUUAAUACAUGGAUAAUACAGUUUGAGAUUUUGAAG